GACGAACGCUGGCGGCGUGCUCAACACAUGCAAGUCGAACGAUGAAGCACCAGCUUGCUGGUGUGGAUUAGUGGCGAACGGGUGAGUAACACGUGAGUAACCUGCCCCUCACUCUGGGAUAAGCCUGGGAAACUGGGUCUAAUACUGGAUACGACCGAUCUCCGCAUGGAGUGUUGGUGGAAAGUUUUUGUGGUGGGGGAUGGACUCGCGGCCUAUCAGCUUGUUGGUGGGGUAGUGGCCUACCAAGGCGACGACGGGUAGCCGGCCUGAGAGGGCGACCGGCCACACUGGGACUGAGACACGGCCCAGACUCCUACGGGAGGCAGCAGUGGGGAAUAUUGCACAAUGGGCGAAAGCCUGAUGCAGCGACGCCGCGUGAGGGAUGACGGCCUUCGGGUUGUAAACCUCUUUCACCAGGGACGAAGCUAACGUGACGGUACCUGGAGAAGAAGCACCGGCUAACUACGUG
rnacentral:rRNA from 1 species